UACGGGGGGGGCAAGCGUUGUUCGGAAUUACUGGGCGUAAAGGGGACGUAGGCGGCCAACUAAGUCAGACGUGAAAUCCCUCGGCUUAACCGGGGAACUGCGUCUGAUACUGGAUGGCUUGAGUUUGGGAGAGGGAUGCGGAAUUCCAGGUGUAGCGGUGAAAUGCGUAGAUAUCUGGAGGAACACCGGUGGCGAAGGCGGCAUCCUGGACCAACACUGACGCUGAUGAGCGAAAGCCAGGGGAGCAAACGGG
rnacentral:rRNA from 1 species